rnacentral:rRNA from 1 species
AGACUGUGAAUAGCUCAUUAAAACAGUUAUAGUUUAUUUGAUGAUUGAGUACCACAUGGAUAACCGUGGUAAUUCUAGAGCUAAUACAAGAAUGAAAGAUUUUGUAUUCUUACAGAAUCUGUGUUUAUUAGAUUACAACCAACCUGCACAGCAGGAAAAGGUGAAUCAUAGUAAAUGAUCGAGUCGCGUGUCUGCAUGACGGCGAUGCAUCAUAUAAGUUUCUGACCUAUCAGCUUUCGACGGUAUGGUAUUGGCUUACCGUGGCAAUGACGGGUAACGGGGAAUUAGGGUUCGAUUCCGGAGAGGGAGCCUGAGAAAUGGCUACCACAUCUAAGGAAGGCAGCAGGCGCGUAAAUUACCCAAUUCUAACGCAGAGAGGUAGUGACAAGAAAUAACAAUACAAGACACUUCGUGUUUUGUAAUUGGAAUGAGAAUGAAGUAAAAUUGUAUUCGAGUAUCAAUUGGAGGGCAAGUCUGGUGCCAGCAGCCGCGGUAAUUCCAGCUCCAAUAGCGUAUAUUAAAGUUGUUGCAGUUAAAAAGCUCGUAGCUGAACUGAUAUCGUUAAAUUACGCUUCG